AUGAAGGUUGAAGAAGCAUUGGAAGAUCCGGAUUGGAUAAAUGCUAUGCAUGAAGAGCUACACAACUUUGAGAGGAACCAAGUUUGGACAUUGGUUGAGAAGCCCGACAACAACCACAACGUCAUCGGUACCAAAUGGGUGUUUUGCAACAAGCAAGAUGAAGAUGGACAAGUAGUUCGCAACAAAGCACGUCUCGUCGCCCAAGGCUACACACAAGUCGAAGGUAUGGACUAUGGUGAGACUUAUGCUCCCGUUGCUAGACUUGAGUCCAUUCGCAUCUUACUUGCCUACGCUAAUCAUCAUGAUAUCAUCUUGUACCAAAUGGACAUCAAAAGUGCUUUUCUAAAUGGUGAAAAUAGGCCAGAGAGUCCCUCUAGGAACUGCCGGCCUAGAGCGUGCCGCCUAGCCACCCUCCCCGCCCCGGCCGAGCACCACUCCGGUGCCGGCGUCCACAGCUCCCCGCCGUCGGUCACUCCGACCCCGGCGGCCACCCUCUGGCCGGCGGCUCGCGCUCUUGCUCCCCCUCCCCCCGUUUGCGCCAUGGCGUCCAGCCCAAGAUCCGUCAACUCGUCCUUCAGGCCCAGCGGCGAGCGCCCCAUCGUCUCGGGUCUCGAUCUCUCUGCUGGCUCAGAGGAGUCAGAGGGGCCGGAGCUGGCGGUGGAGUCCCGUGUGGCUCCGGUGGUGCAGCCGGAGGUCGCGUGGAAUUAG
rnacentral:rRNA from 1 species